UACGGAGGGUGCGAGCGUUGUCCGGAAUCACUGGGCGUAAAGGGCGCGUAGGCGGCGCGGAUAGUCGGCGGUGAAAGCCCGGAGCUCAACUCCGGGUCGGCCGUCGAUACUUCCGGGCUUGAGCACUGUAGAGGCAGAUGGAAUUCCGGGUGUAGCGGUGGAAUGCGUAGAGAUCCGGAAGAACACCGGUGGCGAAGGCGGUCUGCUGGGCAGUUGCUGACGCUGAGGAGCGAAAGCAUGGGGAGCGAACAGG
rnacentral:rRNA from 1 species